UUGAAAGACGAUUAAUUGUAGUUUUAAAAGAUAUUAAUAUUGAAAACAAAAAUGUUAAAAGAAAGAAAAUAGAUUCAUUGAAUAAUGAAGAAAGUAUUGUGAAUGACAUGAUUGUAAAUAAUGUAAGUACAGAAGGAAAGAAAAUAGGUCUCUCAUAUGAUGAUUUUGGGCGAAAGAGAUUCGGCAAUUAAAAAAAUGCGUUAACUGCAAAGAAGGGAACUGCUAAAAUAUGGAAGCUCAUUUAAAUUCAAUAGGUGUUUAAACAUAUAAUGUAAAUAUGCAGGCCAUAUUCUUAGUCUAAACCAGAUGUGUUUAGUUUUUGUUGGCACGUGGCACUCUACGGAUUAAGGCACUAACAAGCACUAACGAAACACUAAAAAAAUGACAUAUAAUUUAUUGUUAGUGCUUCCAAUCGUUCGGCCAACUACAAGGAGCUUUCAAAAGUUAAGACAUAAAAAAG